AUGUACAUUGGAUCUUCUCUGAACUUGUCCAAAAGAUUAGCCAAUUAUUGGGAGACUAGUCCAAGAUGUACUUCCAUCAUUCGUUCAGCCCUCCUUAAAUAUGGACAUGAGUCUUUUGUACUUAUAGUAGUGUUCUUGAACUCUGUCAACAAGGACCAGAUUUUGGCCUUAGAACAGAAUGCUCUUGAUACUUUUAAACUAGUCUACAACGCAAGUCCUUUAGGCUUCAAACAUUCUGAUGAGGCUAAAGAAAAAAAUCGUCAAGAUACUCUGUCUAGGGGUUGGAGAGGCAACCUACAUCCUAGUUAUAAUACUGGCAAAACUGUAUACCUUAUCGAAGUAACCCCGUGUUUCUUUAGAUCGAUGUAA
rnacentral:rRNA from 1 species